GACGAACGCUGGCGGCGUGCUUAACACAUGCAAGUCGAACGGAAAGGCCCUGCUUGCAGGGUGCUCGAGUGGCGAACGGGUGAGUAACACGUGGGUGAUCUGCCCCUUACUUUGGGAUAAGCCUGGGAAACUGGGUCUAAUACUGGAUAGGACCAUGCUGUAGGUGGUGUGGUGGAAAGAUUAGUUUCGGUAAGGGAUGAGCUCGCGGCCUAUCAGCUUGUUGGUGGGGUAAUGGCCUACCAAGGCAUCGACGGGUAGCCGGCCUGAGAGGGUGGACGGCCACAUUGGGACUGAGAUACGGCCCAGACUCCUACGGGAGGCAGCAGUGGGGAAUAUUGCACAAUGGGCGCAAGCCUGAUGCAGCGACGCCGCGUGGGGGAUGACGGCCUUCGGGUUGUAAACUCCUUUCAGCCAUGACGAAGCCCUUGUGGUGACGGUAGUGGUAGAAGAAGCACCGGCUAACUACGUG
rnacentral:rRNA from 1 species